GACGAACGCUGGCGGCGUGCUUAACACAUGCAAGUCGAACGAAGUGGCGAACGGGUGAGUAACGCGUAAUCAACCUGCCCUUCUGAGGGGGACAACAGUUGGACACGACUGCUAAUACCGCAUACUGAAGGAGGGGAUUGCGUCUGAUUAGCUAGUUGGAGGGGUAACGGCCCACCAAGGCGAUGAUCAGUAGCCGGUCUGAGAGGAUGAGCGGCCACAUUGGGACUGCAACACGGCCCAGACUCCUACGGGAGGCAGAAGUGGGGAAGCGUCCGCCAUGGAAGAAAGUCUGACGGAGCAACGCCGCGUGAGUGAUGACGGCGUUCGGGUUGUAAAGCUCUGUUAAUCGGGACGCGGUACCGGAAGAGAAAGCCACGUCUAACUACGUGCCAGCAGCCGCGGUAAUUC
rnacentral:rRNA from 1 species